rnacentral:rRNA from 1 species
UACGUAGGGUGCAAGCGUUAAUCGGAAUUACUGGGCGUAAAGCGUGCGCAGGCGGUUGUGCAAGACAGAUGUGAAAUCCCCGGGCUCAACCUGGGAAUUGCGAUGGAGACUGCAAGGCUAGAAUCUGGCAGAGGGGGGUAGAAUUCCACGUGUAGCAGUGAAAUGCGUAGAGAUGUGGAGGAACACCGAUGGCGAAGGCAGCCCCCUGGGUCAAGAUUGACGCUCAUGCACGAAAGCGUGGGGAGCAAACAGGG